rnacentral:misc_RNA from 1 species
GUGAAUCAUCGAAUCUUUGAACGCACAUUGCGCCCAUUAGUAUUCUAGUGGGCAUGCCUGUUCGAGCGUCAUUUAGUCCACUUAAGCCUUUUGCUUAGUAUUGGGAAUCUACUUCCGACUACUCUGUAGUUUUGUAGUUCCUCAAAGACAGCGGCGGAGUCGUGGUUUUACUCUGAGCUUAGUAAUUUUUUUCUAGCUUUCGAGUCGCCAUUGCCCCCUUGCCGUAAAACACCCUUUAUUUUUUAACGGUUGACCUCGGAUCAGGUAGGAAUACCCGCUGAACUUAAGCAUAUCAAUAAG